GACGAACGCUGGCGGCGUGCCUAAUACAUGCAAGUCGAACGCACUGACGGAGAACUUGUUCUCUUGACGUGAGUGGCGCACGGGUGAGUAACACGUGGGAAACCUACCCUUCAGCGGGGGAUAACCAUCGGAAACGAUGACUAAUACCGCAUAGACGACAGAACCGCCUGGUUCAAUCGGGAAAGACGGCUUCGGCUGUCACUGAAGGAUGGUCCCGCGCUGCAUUAGCUAGUUGGUAAGGUAACGGCUUACCAAGGCGAUGAUGCAUAGCCGACCUGAGAGGGUGAUCGGCCACAUUGGGACUGAGACACGGCCCAA
rnacentral:rRNA from 2 species